rnacentral:rRNA from 1 species
GUGGAUUAGAUACCCUGGUAGUCCACGCCCUAAACGAUGCGAACUGGAUGUUGGGGGCAACUUGGCCCUCAGUAUCGAAGCUAACGCGUUAAGUUCGCCGCCUGGGAAGUACGGUCGCAAGACUGAAACUCAAAGGAAUUGACGGGGGCCCGCACAAGCGGUGGAGUAUGUGGUUUAAUUCGAUGCAACGCGAAGAACCUUACCUGGCCUUGACAUGCACGGAACUUUCCAGAGAUGGAUUGGUGCCUUCGGGAACCGUGACACAGGUGCUGCACGGCGGUCGUCAGCU